rnacentral:lncRNA from 1 species
CCGAGCUUCCAUAGUACCAUUUGGACUCCCCCAGCAGUCGACCUUCCACAGCAUCCUCCAGAUUCCUCCAACGGACGAACUCCUAUCGUGCCAUCCGGACUGCUCCAAAUGCUCUCUGAGCUUCACUAUCAGUCGAUUUUCUACAAUAAUCGACUAUUCUCUAAAUCUCUUCCAGAUUUCUUCCAGCCACGAUCGACUCUACUCCGAACUUCUAUUACAAGCAGACUUCAUCCGAGCUCCAACAAGAGCCAG